UCGAACGGGACUUAUCUGAGAUUACAUCAAGGGUAAGUUCAGUGGCAGACGGGUGAGUAUCACAUAGGUGAUCUACCCUUGAGAGGGAAAUAACCCCGAGAAAUCGGGGCUAAUGUCCCAUAAGACCACGGCCUUUCCUACGAAAGGCUGGGGCCAAAGCUCCGCAAGGGGCACUUGAGGAUGAGCCUGUGUCCUAUCAGCUAGUUGGUGAGGUAAUGGCCCACCAAGGCUAAGACGGGUAUCCGACCUGAAAGGGUGACCGGACACACUGGAACUGAGACACGGUCCAGACUCCUACGGGAGGCAGCAGUGGGGAAUUUUGGACAAUGGGGGCAACCCUGAUCCAGCAACGCCGCGUGAGGGAUGAAGGUUCUCGGAUUGUAAACCUCUUUUACAGGGGACGAAUCACGCCGUGAAUAACGGCGAAUGACGGUACUCUGUGAAUAAGCCACGGCUAACUACGUGCCAGCAGCCGCGGUAAUACGUAGGUGGCAAGCGUUACUCGGAAUUACUAGGCGUAAAGCGCAGGUAGGCGGUUGUGUAAGUCCGUAAUGAAAUCUCCCGGCUUAACUGGGAGGGGUUUAGGGAUACUGCAUGACUCGAGUGUGGGAGAGGUCACUGGAAUUCCUGGUGUAGCGGUGAAAUGCGUAGAGAUCAGGAGGAACACCUAUGGCGAAAGCAGGUGACUGGACCAAUACUG
rnacentral:rRNA from 1 species